GUGCCAGCCGCCGCGGUAAUUCCAGCUCCAAUAGCGUAUAUUAAAGUUGUUGUGGUUAAAAAGCUCGUAGUUGAACCUUGGGCCUGGCUGGCCGGUCCGCCUCACCGCGUGCACUGGUCCGGCCGGGCCUUUCCCUCUGUGGAACCCCAUACCCUUCACUGGGCGUGGCGGGGAAACAGGACAUUUACUUUGAAAAAAUUAGAGUGCUCCAGGCAGGCCUAUGCUCGAAUACAUUAGCAUGGAAUAAUAAAAUAGGACGCGCGGUUCUAUUUUGUUGGUUUAUAGGACCGCCGUAAUGAUUAAUAGGGACAGUCGGGGGCAUCAGUAUUCAACUGUCAGAGGUGAAAUUCUUGGAUCAGUUGAAGACUAACUACUGCGAAAGCAUUUGCCAAGGAUGUUUUCAUUAAUCAGGAACGGAAGUUAGGGGAUCGAAGACGAUCAGAUACCGUCGUAGUCUUAACCAUAAACUAUGCCGACUAGGGAUCGGACGGUGUUAUUCAUGACCCGUUCGGCACCUUACGAGAAAUCAAGUGCUUGGGCUCCAGGGGGAGUAUGGUCGCAAGGCUGAAACUUAAAGAAAUUGACGGAAGGGCACCACCAGGGGUGGAGCCUGCGGCUUAAUUUGACUCAACACGGGGAAACUCACCAGGUCCAGACACAAUAAGGAUUGACAGAUUGAGAGCUCUUUCUUGAUUUUGUGGUGGUGUGCAUGGCCGUUCUUAGUGGUGGGGUGACUUGUCUGCUUAAUUGCGAUACGACGAGACCUUAACCUGCUAAAUAGCCCGCAUUGCUCCGGCAGUGCGCUGGCUUCUUAGAGGGACUUUCGG
rnacentral:rRNA from 1 species